UACGUAGGCAGCGAGCGUUGUUCGGAAUUACUGGGCGUAAAGAGUGUGUAGGCGGUGCUCUAAGUUCGGUGUGAAAUCUCCUGGCUCAACUGGGAGGGUGCGCCGGAAACUGGAGUGCUUGAGCGUGGGAGAGGAAAGCGGAAUUCCUGGUGUAGCGGUGAAAUGCGUAGAGAUCGGGAAGAACAUCGGUGGCGAAAGCGCUCUACUGGACCACAACUGACACUCAGGGACGAAAGCUAGGGGAGCGAAUGGG
rnacentral:rRNA from 1 species